rnacentral:rRNA from 1 species
AGAGUUUGAUCCUGGCUCAGGACGAACGCUGGCGGCGUGCCUAACACAUGCAAGUCGAGCGAUGAAACCCUUCGGGGUGGAUUAGCGGCGGACGGGUGAGUAACACGUGGGUAACCUGCCUCAAAGAGGGGGAUAGCCUCCCGAAAGGGAGAUUAAUACCGCAUAACAUUAGCUUUUCGCAUGGAGAGUUAAUUAAAGGAGUAAUCCGCUUUGAGAUGGACCCGCGGCGCAUUAGCUAGUUGGUGAGGUAAAGGCUCACCAAGGCGACGAUGCGUAGCCGACCUGAGAGGGUGAUCGGCCACAUUGGAACUGAGACACGGUCCAGACUCCUACGGGAGGCAGCAGUGGGGAAUAUUGCACAAUGGGCGAAAGCCUGAUGCAGCAACGCCGCGUGAGUGAUGAAGGCCUUCGGGUUGUAAAGCUCUGUCUUUGGGGACGAUAAUGACGGUACCCAAGGAGGAAGCCACGGCUAACUACGUGCCAGCAGCCGCGGUAAUACGUAGGUGGCGAGCGUUGUCCGGAUUUACUGGGCGUAAAGGAUGCGUAGGUGGAUGUUUAAGUCAGAUGUGAAAUACCCGAGCUUAACUUGGGUGCUGCAUUUGAAACUGGAUAUCUAGAGUGCAGGAGAGGUAAGUGGAAUUCCUAGUGUAGCGGUGAAAUGCGUAGAGAUUAGGAAGAACACCAGUGGCGAAGGCGACUUACUGGACUGUAACUGACACUGAGGCAUGAAAGCGUGGGUAGCAAACAGGAUUAGAUACCCUGGUAGUCCACGCCGUAAACGAUGAGUACUAGGUGUAGGAGGUAUCGACUCCUUCUGUGCCGCAGUUAACACAAUAAGUACUCCGCCUGGGAAGUACGAUCGCAAGAUUAAAACUCAAAGGAAUUGACGG